rnacentral:rRNA from 1 species
GAUGAACGCUGGCGGAGUGCCUUAAGCAUGCAAGUGGAACGGUUUUGAGCUUGGUAGCAAUACUGAGCUUGAAGCAGUCGCAGACGGGUGAGUAACACGUGGGCAACCUGCCCUGCAGAUCGGGAUAACUCCGGGAAACCGGUGCUAAUACCGGAUAGUUUGGCGCCUCUCCUGAGGCGCUACGGAAAGACGGUUUCGGCUGUCACUGCAGGCUGGGCCCGCGGCGCAUUAGCUAGUUGGUGGGGUAACGGCCCACCAAGGCGACGAUGCGUAGCCGACCUGAGAGGGUGACCGGCCACACUGGGACUGAGACACGGCCCAGACUCCUACGGGAGGCAGCAGUAGGGAAUCUUCCGCAAUGGACGCAAGUCUGACGGAGCAACGCCGCGUGAGUGACGAAGGUUUUCGGAUCGUAAAACUCUGUUGUGAGGGAAGAACACGUACCAACUAACUAUUGGUACCUUGACGGUACCUCACCAGAAAGCCACGGCUAACUACGUGCCAGCAGCCGCUGUAA